CAUAUUUCCACAUACACAACAGGAUACACAAAGAGGACUGUAUAUGAAACAGCAAACCUACAUGUGAGAGGUGACUGUAAAUGCUACAUUCCAGUGGAGAAGACUAUGUGCUGAGGUAAAGAGUGGUGAGGCCAAGCAGCGAGCAGAGAGAAGCAGUUUCAUGAGGUGCAAAUGUUCCUGAAUGACUUCAAUGGCAGAGUUGUCUAAAAGUCAGUAUUGUGACUGGCUGAGUGCAUAAAUAUCACAUACCAUCUGAGUGCAUUACAUUUUGAGUUGCAUGGAUAGAAAGUAAAUCAGCCAUGGGCUCAAGAGACUGGCAGGUAAGUGAAGUAAAAUUCUCCUCAACAGACUUACCCCCAAGACCCUAAGAGAAUUUGAGUACAAUACCAUGGUGGUAGUCUAUCUCUGGGAACCCAGCCCUGAAAACGUGGGCAAGUGAGUGAAUAAGCCAAUCCACUGAAUGAGAAGUAUCGAUUCACCACUCAAGGGGUCAUAAUCGUAUUGUGUUACAUUUGGCACAUCACUCACCUACCAUGCAUAUGACAACAUGCCAUCUAUCAACAUCACAGUCCCGUGACAUCUUGAGAACUGUGCUGUUUGCCUAUUACCUCACCUGUCCUCUGGUACACUAUUACACAGGUUAUACCUGUAACCCCCUAGAACAAAGCUCUCUUCCCAGGCCUGCACUCCCCUAUUAAAAUAUAAGCUCCAUAAAAGCAGGGAUUAUCUCAUUUUUUAGACAUUUGCCUUUAUCAGUAUCCUCAGUACUUACAGCUUAAUGCCUGGCACAUAGCACUUCAAAUGCUUUUUUAUUGAUCUGCUUGUAAACAAGGACUAUUUUCCUUGUAAGCACUUUAGAUACAGAUAUUAUACCUACUUCACUAUGACACACUAACAGGCAGGUAUACAUAAUUUAUUUUUGGCAAACAAGCCUUCUGCUAAACUUUACUAGGAAUCAAGACUUGUGGCCUAGGAGGCUGUAACACUAAUUUCUGGUGGGACUGUCUUCAUUUGACAGAUCCCAACUGCUUCUUUUAAAAAGGAAGCAAGCAGCAUGGCAUAAUAUAUACAGUACUCAACUUAGACUCAGGACACCUGGGUUGGAAUCCUGCCUUUAGAACCUUCCCUAGUUGAGAGUUUAUUAGCAUGUGACAACUUUUAAGAGUCUCUCAGUUUAAUCAUCUGUAUUGGAUUUUUUUUUUGAUCUGUGAUUUUCUUGGUAUAGAGUUCUCCCAAUGAGAGAACUCUCAGUCAAUGAAGAUUAGCACCUGCUAUGCACUUCUGUCUUAGAGAGGUGCCAGAACACAGAGGAGUUAAGUGGACUGCUGAAAGUCACACAGGGACUGGAACCCAGGUCACCCUGACUACAAGGUUUACUCUCUAUCCACUGUGCCACACCGUAACACAGGGAGAAUAUGUGCAGCAUUAUUUACCUCACAGGGUUGUAAUGAGGAAAGACCUUUGGAGACAGAAGUGCUACAGAAGUGUGAGCUAAUGUUAUUAUAUUAAAUAUAAACUACUGAAAUGAAAAUGGGAAGUUCAAAGCAUUUGCACUACAUGUUGUUGAACUGGUUAAUCAAAUAUUCAAUUGUAGCUACAUUUCAAGUUACAGAAUAACUGUGAUCUUACAAGUCUGUAUACAGGUUGAAUUUUAGUCAGUUAAACAUCUUUCCGACAAAAUUUUCCCAGAUGGUCUAGAUUCAUUUCUGGUCAAUCGUAAAUUAAAAGUCACUACCAACUGAACACUGAAUUUCUUUGCUCUACCAGCCUCUCUUUCACCUGCUUUUUCACAAAAUAUUUUAACUACUCAAAGAUCCUUAUUUAAAGAAAAGCAAAAGAUGA